AUGGAUAGCUUAGCCAAUUGCACACAACUACAAAUUUUUUCGAUCGCUUCCAAUUUUCUAGAAGGUCACGUACCAGCUUCAUUGGGUAUCCUUUCUUCUCAGCUCGAUACUCUAUACCUGUCCGAAAAUAAAUUAUCAGGGAGUUUUCCUUCUGGCAUUGAAAAUCUUACCAACCUGACUAGAUUAAGUUUGUACAACAAUCGAUUUACGGGUGAGAUUCCUGAAUGGCUUGGAUGUCUCAAGAAGUUACAGACUAUAUGGUUAUAUCAGAACAACUUCACAGGGUUCCUUCCAACAUCCCUUUCAAAUCUAUCUCAACUGGGCCAACUCCUUCUACGCUCUAAUAAGUUUGGUGGUCUCAUACCCCCAGGCCUAGGAAACCUCCAAAUGCUUCAACAUUUAGACAUUUCCAACAACAGUCUUCAUGGUACGGUGCCAAAGGAGAUCUUUGGAAUCCCAACAAUAUUUUUAAUUGAUCUAUCUUUCAAUAACCUUGAUGGACGUCUUCCUACAGAGAUUGGCAAUGCCAAACAACUCUCAUAUUUGUCACUUUCAACAAACAAGCUAUCUGGAGAUAUUCCAAACACUCUGGGUAAUUGUGAAAGCCUGAAAUAUCUUGAGCAACUAGACUUGUCAUUCAACCAUCUUGAGGGGGAGGUCCCAACUGAAGGAAUCUUCAAGAAUGCAACAGCUGUGCGAAUUCAUGGAGAUCGCAGGCUUUGUGGUGGGGUUUUGGAGUUACACUUACCGGCAUGCCCUGAUAUGCCUUCAAAGUCAACCAAUCACAAGCCCUACUGUACUCAAAGUAGUGACCCCUUGGUCAUUAUAGUCUUGAUUGCUAUGGUCAUACUUGUCUUAUUGUUCUGGAGGGGAAAACAUAAGAGGAAAUCUUUAGUGCUGCCAUCAUUUGGUAGACAAUUUCCCAAAGUGUCUUUCAGUGAUAUUGCUAGAGCAACACAGGGGUUUGCAACGGCCAACAUAAUCGGAAGAGGGAGAUACGGUUCUGUUUAUCAAGGAAAAUUAUUUCAAGAUGGAAGUGAUGUUGCCAUAAAAGUCUUCAAUCUAGAGACAAGGGGGUCACAGAAGAGCUUCAUUUCAGAAUGUAACGCCUUAAGAAAUGUGCGGCACCGUAAUCUCGUCCCUAUCUUAACUACAUGCUCAAGCAUUGAUUCUAACGGAAAUGAUUUCAAAGCUCUAGUGUAUGAGUUCAUGCCUGGAGGAAUGUGCAACGGACGCUCAUGUAUCGACUAUAGCUUUGGCAUCGUUCUACUUGAAAUAUUCUUACGUAAGAGGCCAACUGACGACAUGUUCAAGGAUGGACUGGACAUUGUAAAAUUCGUCGAGGUGAACUAUCCUUGUGGAAUAUCACAGAUUGUUGACCUUGACUUACUGCAAGAUGAAGUGGAGUUUCCCCAAGGAAGUCGAUCGGCCAUGAAGGCAAAGGACUUGAACUGUUUAAUUUCAGUGCUAAACAUUGGACUUUGCUGCACCAAGGUGUCUCCGAACGAGCGCCUCGACAUGCAUGAAGUGGCUGCAAGGCUGCACGGAAUCAAGGAGGCUUAUCUUAGAGAGAACUAA
rnacentral:rRNA from 1 species